rnacentral:rRNA from 2 species
GUCUAUAGCCAUACCACCCACCCUGAACACACCUGAUGAUUAUCUGAUCUCAGAAACAAAGCAGGAUCGGGCCUGGUUGGUACUUGGAUGGGAGACUGGUUAGGUAAACCAGUUGACAAACC